rnacentral:lncRNA from 1 species
GCUUAUACAUGGAUGAUCUUUUGUGUUAGUGUUAGUAAUAAACAAGUCAAACAUAUACAAGUCAGUCAUAAACAGGAAAUUAAAAAUGUAUUAAGCAGCAAUUACUGGGCUUAUAUCAAUUUGGGGGACUUAUAUUUGGGGGGUGGGGGGCUUAUAUUCAGGGUGGGCUUAUAUUUGGGAUGAGGUGAGCUUUAGUACAUGUGAUGGGCUUAUACAUGGGGGGGGGGGGCUUAUAGUCGUAAGUUUACGGUACCAGUACAUCACGACUCUUUAUAUCACAAAGGGAACUUGUAGUGACUAGCAUGGUAUACCUGAAACACUGCAACAGCUGCAUGUGUACAAAACAGUAUGAAGUUUAAAAUUACAGAUACAUGGACUAUGUGCACUUGCAGUGAAAUGUCU